rnacentral:rRNA from 1 species
GAUGAACGCUGGCGGCGUGCUUAACACAUGCAAGUCGAACGAGAAGUGAAGACGGAAACCUUCGGGCGGAAGGCUUUAUUUCGAGUGGCGGACGGGUGAGUAACGCGUGGGUAACCUGCCUCAUACAGGGGGAUAACAUUUGGAAACGACUGUUAAUACCGCAUAAGACCACAGCACCGCAUGGUGCGGGGGUAAAAACUCCGGUGGUAUGAGAUGGACCCGCGUUCGAUUAGCCAGUUGGCGGGGUAACGGCCCACCAAAGCGACGAUCGAUAGCCGGUCUGAGAGGAUGACCGGCCACAGUGGGACUGAGACACGGCCCAAACUCCUACGGGAGGCAGCAGUGGGGAAUAUUGCACAAUGGGGGAAACCCUGAUGCAGCGACGCCGCGUGAGUGAAGAAGUAUUUCGGUAUGUAAAGCUCUAUCAGCAGGGAAGAAAAUGACGGUACCUGAGUAAGAAGCCCCGGCUAACUACGUG